UACGGGGGGAGCAAGCGUUGUUCGGAUUUACUGGGCGUAAAGGGCGCGUAGGCGGCCACCGCAAGUCGGUUGUGAAAUCUCCGGGCUUAACCCGGAAAGGUCAAUCGAUACUGCGGGGCUAGAGUGCAGAAGGGGCAACUGGAAUUCUCGGUGUAGCGGUGAAAUGCGUAGAUAUCGAGAGGAACACCUGCGGCGAAGGCGGGUUGCUGGGACGUCACUGACGCUGAGACGCGAAAGCGUGGGGAGCAAACAGG
rnacentral:rRNA from 1 species